UACAAAUUCCCUUAGGUUCAUAAUCACACAGACAGAUAAUUCUUUGAAAAUGUUACGCCAGCGGUACAAACUCCCUAAGGUUCAUAAUCACACAGACAGAUAAUUCUUUGAAAAUGUUACGCCGGCGGUACAAACUCCCUAAGGUUCAUAAUCACACAGACAGAUAUUUGAAAAUUGUACUCUACAAUGACAAAAUGUUACGCCGGCGGUACAAACUAUGCAUUAUCACAGACAGAUAU